rnacentral:lncRNA from 1 species
AUUAGGGACCGGUCAUAAAGUAAUUGCUAGGGUGGGCUGGAGUGAUUUGGGAUGGGCCAUGGAAAAUCUUUGGGCAGUUUCGAUGGGCCGCCAAAUUUUUUGUAUGUCCACGGUUGGGCCACCAAACAAAAACCCAUGCAUGUCUACUUCAAAAAAUAAAGAUAUUGAUAAUAAAAGUAAACAAAACUAUAUCCAAAUUAUCAAAUGCAAAUGAUGCUAUUGAAGCCAGUACUCUGUUUAUACAACAACAAGAAGUGUUCGAAUCAUAGCAAAUACAACCAACUGGAGAGCAGCUCAGUAUCAAUGGGUUGGUCAAACUUGGUGGAAUUAUUUAUGUCAAUACAGUGUCGUGUAUAUUUACAAUGUUCAUAUCUGCAAGUUUUUUUAUUAUAAAAGUG